rnacentral:rRNA from 1 species
UUUAACCUGAGAGUUUGAUCCUGGCUCAGGACGAACGCUGGCGGCGUGCCUAACACAUGCAAGUCGAGCGGGGGAUGCUGAAGGUGUAAGCUGGAGGCAUCCUUAGCGGCGGACGGGUGAGUAACACGUAGGCAACCUACCCACCACACGGGGAUAGCCCUGGGAAACCGGGGGUAAUACCCGAUGACUUUGCUAGCCGCAUGGUUAGUAAAGAAAGCUGCCUUUUAGGUGGCGGUGGUGGAUGGGCCUGCGGCCCAUCAGCUAGUUGGUGAGGUAACGGCUCACCAAGGCGACGACGGGUAGCCGGCCUGAGAGGGUGUA